rnacentral:rRNA from 1 species
GACGAACGCUGGCGGCGUGCCUAAUACAUACCAGUCGAACGCUUCUUUCCUCCCGAGUGCUUGCACUCAAUUGGAAAGAGGAGUGGCGGACGGGUGAGUAACACGUGGGUAACCUACCCAUCAGAGGGGGAUAACACUUGGAAACAGGUGCUAAUACCGCAUAACAGUUUAUGCCGCAUGGCAUAAGAGUGAAAGGCGCUUUCGGGUGUCGCUGAUGGAUGGACCCGCGGUGCAUUAGCUAGUUGGUGAGGUAACGGCUCACCAAGGCCACGAUGCAUAGCCGACCUGAGAGGGUGAUCGGCCACACUGGGACUGAGACACGGCCCAGACUCCUACGGGAGGCAGCAGUAGGGAAUCUUCGGCAAUGGACGAAAGUCUGACCGAGCAACGCCGCGUGAGUGAAGAAGGUUUUCGGAUCGUAAAACUCUGUUGUUAGAGAAGAACAAGGACGUUAGUAACUGAACGUCCCCUGACGGUAUCUAACCAGAAAGCCACGGCUAACUACGUG